rnacentral:rRNA from 1 species
CCUACGGGAGGCAGCAGUGGGGAAUAUUGCACAAUGGGGGAAACCCUGAUGCAGCGACGCCGCGUGAGUGAAGAAGUAUUUCGGUACGUAAAGCUCUAUCAGCAGGGAAGAAGAAAUGACGGUACCUGAGUAAGAAGCCCUGGCUAACUACGUGCCAGCAGCCGCGGUAAUACGGAGGGGGCAAGUGUUAUCCGGAAUUACUGGGUGUAAAGGGAGCGUAGACGGUGAUGUAAGUCUGGAGUGAAAGGCGGGGGCCCAACCCCCGGACUGCUCUGGAAACUGUGUGACUGGAGUGCAGGAGAGGUGAGCGGAAUUCCUGGUGUAGCGGUGAAAUGCGUAGAUAUUAGGAGGAACACCAGUGGCGAAGGCAGCUCACUGGACUGUAACUGACGUUGAGGCUCGAAAGCGUGGGGAGCAAACAGGAUUAGAUACCCUAGUAGUC